rnacentral:rRNA from 1 species
CUCCCUGAGAUUAGCGGCGGACGGGUGAGUAACACGUGGGCAACCUGCCUAUAAGACUGGGAUAACUUCGGGAAACCGGAGCUAAUACCGGAUACGUUCUUUUCUCGCAUGAGAGAAGAUGGAAAGACGGUUUACGCUGUCACUUAUAGAUGGGCCCGCGGCGCAUUAGCUAGUUGGUGAGGUAAUGGCUCACCAAGGCGACGAUGCGUAGCCGACCUGAGAGGGUGAUCGGCCACACUGGGACUGAGACACGGCCCAGACUCCUACGGGAGGCAGCAGUAGGGAAUCUUCCGCAAUGGACGAAAGUCUGACGGAGCAACGCCGCGUGAACGAAGAAGGCCUUCGGGUCGUAAAGUUCUGUUGUUAGGGAAGAACAAGUACCAGAGUAACUGCUGGUACCUUGACGGUACCUAACCAGAAAGCCACGGCUAACUACGUGCCAGCAGCCGCGGUAAUACGUAGGUGGCAAGCGUUGUCCGGAAUUAUUGGGCGUAAAGCGCGCGCAGGUGGUUCCUUAAGUCUGAUGUGAAAGCCCACGGCUCAACCGUGGAGGGUCAUUGGAAACUGGGGAACUUGAGUGCAGAAGAGGAAAGUGGAAUUCCAAGUGUAGCGGUGAAAUGCGUAGAGAUUUGGAGGAACACCAGUGGCGAAGGCGACUUUCUGGUCUGUAACUGACACUGAGGCGCGAAAGCGUGGGGAGCAAACAGGAUUAGAUACCC